GCAGGGUUAGUUCAUCGGUAGAACGGUCGCUUCCCAAGCCACAGAGGCGGGUUCGAUUCCCGUACCCUGCUCCA
rnacentral:tRNA from 23 species